GUAGUCUCGGCCCUAAACGAUGAUCACUAGGUGUCGGGGGGUUUCCCUCGGUGCCGCAGCUAACGCAUUAAGUGAUCCGCCUGGGGACUACGGCCGCAAGGUUGAAACUCAAAGGAAUUGGCGGGGGACCGCACAAGCGGUGGAGCAUAUGGCUUAAUUCGAUGCAACGCGAAGAACCUUACCCAGGCUUGACAUGUAACUGCAAGCUCCCCAAAAGGAGCCGCUUUCGAAGGUGUUACACAGGUGGUGCAUGGCUGUCGUCAGCUCGUGUUGUGAAAUGUUGGGUUAAGUCCCGCAACGAGCGCAACCCUCAUGUUCUGUUGCCAGCGAGUAAUGUCGGGAACUCGGAACAAACUGCCCAUGUAAGUGGGA
rnacentral:rRNA from 1 species